rnacentral:lncRNA from 1 species
CUGGCCAUCGCCUGAUUUCGCCCCCCCCUACCCGCUGCUCCGCCUGCAGGUAUAUAUAACAAUAAAAUGAGGUAAAAUGAGAACCAACAGAGCACUUUCUGUAUUACCAGAACAAAAUUGAAAUUCAAACAAUAACAUGGCCCUUGGUAUGGAAACAAUUCUGCAGGUAUAUACCAAUAAAAUGAGGUGAAAUGAGAACCAACGGCACAAUGUCCAAAAAAAGGCCAGAAGGAUGAAGUUAUAGCUAGCUAGCUAUGCACCAUCAGUGUCUAUACGACCAGCUUAGAAGCAUAACACAACUAACAUAAGGAGCGACACAACAGUUGUUGUGCUACCACAGAAAAAUUGGGAUUCAAACCUAACAUAGCCCUUGUAUCGAAAUAAAAAUGCUAGCAGAGUGAUGCUUGCUGCUUGAUCCUUGUUACUACAUGGCCAUUCGGUGUUGUCGCCCUGUCCUGAAUCCUGAGUGCAAAGAGGACCCCCUGCUCUAGCGAGUGGACUAAUGGAAAAGAGACGAUUAAGGUUGUCAUUACUACCACAAAACCAACAAUGCUUUAUUUCGGGUGGAGAUGCUCUAAUCAUCCUUUUCCUCCUUUUACUAAUGCUCUUGACCAUGUACAAACACGCAUUCUACCAUCAAAAUGAAAAUAUAGCACCAACAAACAUAUUGCUAACCACCGAACACAUAUUGGACAAGAACAAAUAGCAACCAAAUCAAACAGAUUUGCAAGUAUAUGACAGAACCAUAUAUAUAUAGCAAGUAAUGAAAGAUGAGCCUAUUUAUUUCGAAUCAUCCCCUCUCAAGAUCGGAAUCCACUCAAAUCUCAAUCUGCUGUCGGACAAGAUCGGCUCGAGAUUCCCAGCACGCGAGGGAGGAGCUGAGGCGGGCGGAGGGGAGGGGAGGGGUUGGAUUCAUACCUUCGGAUUCAUAUGCACGGCCGAUCUGCCGACGGCCUUGGCGAGGACGUAGAAGAGGGAGCCGACGUUGCAGGCCACCGCCACCCACAGGUAGGCCGCGCCGCCCACGCACGCCGUAUACGCGCCUGCACACACGAAAAAAUAGCGAUCGAUUAGUAACCAGGAAGGAAAUCAGAUGGCGAUUCGAGAUCAGGAAAUUGACAGCACGCGCGUAACACGGAGGGGGCAGGACGGUUCAUGAUCUGUUGCUGCCACUGCCGCUGUGUGUCCCAGAUUGAAUCGAACCGAACCUACAGCCCUAGAUCGAAUCAAAUCAAACUAAGGGGGAAACGUGGUAAUCAGAGGAAGAAGAGAGCUCACCUCGCCAUGGCCAUCGGUGGAGGUUAGAGGAGGGAGGCCCUCACUGCCACGCCGCGAUCCGUCCAUGUCACGGCGGCUAACGACUAGAGGAGUCUCACCCGCGACAAGGAGGUUGAAACCGUAGCCAUCGGAGGGUGGCGCGUGGCCGUUGUAGGAUGCGCACUUCAGAUCUGGUCUGAGGGGAGGAUGAAGCAGAGGUAGGGGGUCAUAGUGGUGCGCUGGGUGCCACCGAUUGCCGCCAAAACUCGUCGGAUCGGUCGCUGUAGGUGGCCGCGGCGAAGAGGAGUCAUGGGGGAGAGAGAAAUGGGGCUCGCGAGAAGAGAGGGAUCGUGGGGUUUCUGUCUUUCUCCUUUUUUUUCUCUCGUUUCUUUUGACUCUGGCAGCCAGCCAAUCACAUGCGAGGCCACAUAUCCCUCCCCGGGAAAAAAUCAUAGCCAUCCACUCCACCUACAUCCAACGUUCCAAAACCCUCCCCUCAUCCAACACACUUUUAUCUUUUUUCUCUUUUUUACAAUCAGUUUAUUAUUCGCCUCUCUUUUGAGAAGAACAUACCCAAUAUUUGUUUCAAAACUGGACGGCACCAAUUUUCAAAACUAUUAGACAAUAUUUUAUGUUCAAUUAACUAAAUGUUUGCAUAUUAAAAAAUGCAUUCACCUCUCGUCAAAUUCACAAAAUUUGAACUACAGAUGCUUCCUUGUUUGCUUUUUAUUUUUUUGAAAAAUCUUUUAUGGAUACAUAAGUAGCUAAUUCAUCAUAGAUACAAAAGGAGUUAUGGAUGAUUUCACCCCUAGCUAUGAACGGUCAUACCCACCAUUUUGAUCGCAUUUUGAAACACGCAUAGAAAAAUCAUCUUAUGGCCACAUCCAUCGCAUAGUUUGUUUAAAUGAUAUCAUAUUUUUCACAAGGGUGCAUUUUGGAAUGGCAAACAAUGUUUCCUAAGGCAGUUUUCAUUUUCUUUGGACGAAAAAAAUCAUUUUUCAUUUUUUGAGUGUCCAAAAUUAGUUUUUUUGUGGAGGACCUACCAUAUAUUUGUUGCAAAAUUGGACCAAAUUAAUUUUAUAAAAUAUUAGGCAAUGUUUAAUUCACAAUUGACCAAAUUUUUAGGUGUAAAAAGUUUUGAUCCACCUCUGGUGAAAAAGACAAAUUCCCGUCGAUUCAGUAGGAAGCGAGUCAAAUUUGAACUACACCUGCCUCAUAGUUUGCUCUUUAUUUUUUUAAAUCAUUUCUAGGUACAUAAGCAUCUAUUUAAUCAGAGAAAUAUUAAAAGUUUUCCAAGAUUCAACCACUAGCUAGGAAUGGUCAUGCCCGCCCUUUUGACCGCAUUUUGAAACGGGCAUAAAAAAUUCAAAAAAAUCUAAAAAUUGGAAAACCUUCGCAUUAUGUCAUUAUAUGUGACCAAGUUUCCAGGAAAAAUAAUAAACUUGUAAUACGGCAAUUAUUUUAAAAAAGUGUUCUCAGAAAUAAUCUAUCAUGCGUGAAGAUUCAGGGUUUUCAAGCCAAAUGAUCAAUCUUAUGGCCACAUUCAUGGCAUAGUUUGUUCAAAUGAUCUCAUAUUGUGCACAAGGGUGCAUCUUGGAAUUCCAAACAAUGUUGCCUAAGGUAGUUUUCAUUUUCUUUGCACGGAAAAUUCAUUUUCCAUUUUCGGAGUGCUCGAAUUGAGUUCUUUUUGUGAAGGACCUACCAUAUAUUUGUUGCAAAAUUGGACCAAAUCAUUUUUGUAAAAUACUAGGCCAUAUUUUAUUCACAAUUGACCAAAUGGUUGGGUGUCAAAAUCCUUGAUCCACCUCCGGUGAAAAAGACAAAUUCCUGCCGAUUCAGCAAGAAGCAGGUCAAAUUUGAACUGCAGCUGCCUCAUGGUUUGCUCUUUAUUUUUUUCAAAAUAUCAUUUCUAGGUACAUAAGUAUCUAUUUAAUCAGAGAAACACCAAAAAAAUUCCAAGAUUCAACCACGAGCUAGGAACGGUCAUGCCCGCCGUUUUGACUGCAUUUUGAAACGGGCAUAAAAAUUCAAAAAAAAAAUUCAAAAAAUUGGGAAACCUUCGCAUUGUGUCAUUAUAUGUGACAAAGUUUCCAGGAAAAAUAAUAAACUUGUAAUAAGACAAUUAUUUUAAAAAAAGUGUUCUCAGAAAUGAGCUAUCACGCAUGAAGAUUCAGGGUUUUCAAGCCAAAUGAUCAAUCUUAUGGCCACAUUCAUGGCAUAGUUUGUUCAAAUGAUCUCAUAUUGUGCACAAGGGUGCAUCUUGGAAUUCUAAACAAUAUUGCCAAAGGGAGUUUUCAUUAUGUUUGCACGGAAAAUUCAUUUUCCAUUUUCCGAGUGCCCGAAAUGAGUUUUUUUGUGAAGGACCUACCAUAUAUUUGUUGCAAAAUUGGACCAAAUCAAUUUUUAAAAAUACUAGGCCAUAUUUAAUGCGCAAUUAACAAAAUGGUUGGGUGCCAAAAGUUUUGAUCCACCUCUGGUGAAAAGGACAAAUUCCCGCCGAUUUAGUAGGAAGCGGGUCAAAUUUGAACUGCAGCUGCCUUAUUGUUUGCUCUUUAUUUUUUCCAAAAAACAUUUCUAGUUACAUAAGUAUCUAUUUAAGCAUAAAUACAUGGUUUCGUGGCAAUACGUCGAGGUUUGGAUGGUGGCCCAGGGCCCCAACUCCAAAGCGCGUGAACUCGCAUGCCUGGUGCGUGGUCACCGCGUAACCUUGGUGUUGACAUGAGUUCUAGGAGGCCUAGGCAUGUCUAGAGGGUUGGGCACUCCCCGGGUAGGUUCUAGGAAGAAAAUUACAACAGAAGAAUCUCACGAGGAGACCGACCUAUGCUCAAAGAUGAAUUAGCAGCCAAGUGUUUGAUUGGCAGUACGAGAAAUGCACAUGGCUAAUGGGCGUGAGUUUUGUCUGAGGAUGAUCAUCAACUAAGAAGAAUGUCUUCGCAAAUUUUCAGAUGAAAAGGAGGAUCCUAGGUGGUAAUUGCUUUGCAAAGUACCACACUGGACAUAAAUAUGAAUAUUGAAGCUGGGCUCAAAAUAAUGAAUGGAUUGAGCUGAAAUUUGGUGGAGGAUGGUUAUUUGGGCAUUGGAAAGCACCGUAGAAAAUUGAUACCAUUUGGACAUGCCAAAGUGGUACUUCCUUCACAAUGCUCUUCUAUGGACAAAAAGUUGGGAAAACUAGUGAGAGAAAUUGGAUGAAUGAAAUGAGCUCAAAUUUGGUGUAGGUAAGUUACAUAGGUAUAGUUAUGCCUUGGUAGGAUUUCAGAUCAUUUGGGUAAGCCUAGCUAGUACUUCCUUCACAAAGCUUCUCUCGAGGUAGAAACUUUGGAAAUUUCCUGACAAAGAUUUACUAGGAAAAUGGAGCUGAAUAUUAUCAUGUGGCAAUGAUUUGGGUAUGGAAGAGUGUCCAAAGAGUUUGAGGGUAAUAGAAGGGGUCUAGAUAACACUUGCUUGGCAACGUGCCAAUCUGGCCAUAAAAUAUAAAUUGAACCUGGGCUCACAUAGAUAAUUUGACUAAGCUGCAAUUUGGAGGACGGUGAUUAUUUGGGCAUAUGAAGGAACUGUAUAAAUUUCAUGUCAUUUGGAUGUAUAAAAAAGGUACUUCCGUCACAAUGCUUCUAGGUGGACAAAAACUUUGGAAAUUUGCCGAGGAAGAUUUGUUAGGAAAAUGGAGCUGAAUUUUGUCAUGCGGCAAUGAUUUGGAUAGGAAAGAGUGCCCAAGAAUUCCGAGGGCAAUCAAGAAUAUAUAAAUAGCACUUCCUUCAUAAAGUGAUGUUGUGAACAGAAUAGGAAAAUGAAUAUUGUUGAACUAUUUUUGAACUAGGCAAGGAAGUAUUUUUACAUAUUUGAUGAAGAUAGGACCCAAAGAAUUUAUGAGAUUUUUUUGGGAAUUUUUGGAAUGACAGAAAUAUAGGUUGCUUCACAACCUAGGGCAAAAAUUGACACAUGGACAUGACACAUAGGCAAAACUGAUGAGGUGGCGCCAAGUCAUACCAAUCCACCACAAUUUACAAGGUUAUGACCAUCUAUAUUGGUCAUGAUCAUCUAGAAAUAAGGCAGCGGACUAGUGCUGUCCGCUUUAUGACCAUUUCGUGUUAGGAAAUUACGACCUUUUUGACCAAAAUGGUCACAAUGGUUUAGGGUUUGGAGCCCCCCGAACAGCUUUUGACCAAUUGGUCUAAAAUGGUCAUAGAUUUAUGACCAAUUCUUCCAGGGUCACUGACAGAAGGUCAUAAGUUGACAUAUUUCUUGUAGUGAGCCUCUUCCAAAUAUGCCCGCUGGAUGGAAAUUGUAGUGGCGGGUAGUGAGCUAGUGUCCGCCACUAACAAACAGGUAACAGUGGCAGGCCCAACAUGGCGCUCGCCACAACAAAAUUUUGGCAAGCCUCGCCAAACAAAUCAAAAUUUAAAAAAUGUUUGCCGUGGCGGGUGUCUGUUCUCGCCCGCCAAUGCUCUCCAUGGACAGUUACCCUCCAUCGCCCACCCAACCGUCCACAACCUCUUCAUUUCCAUCGUUUCCUUUCUCACUGCCAGUUCCAGACUUCUCCCCUUCCGCGCAUCUUGUGCCUCGGCCGCCAGUGCCAUCCUUCCGACCAGUCGGCGGGGCCUUUCCACACGUCUAAUGCUGUGACCACUGUUGGAUCUACUAAUCAUCGCGUCGUCCACCUUGACCGCUGCUGCGCCGUUCUCUGCCUCGACCGCGCAUAGCCCCCGCCAUCUGCAUCGACCGCCGCCACCGUCCUCCACCUCGACCAACCACGGGUGCAGCAACGUGCUAUACAAACGGUUUUUAUCCCCUUUCUGUGACAGAGUUUUAAAUCGUUGACUUGCCUGUGUGUGCAUGGGGGGUCCUUCCCACAUGACCCAGAAACCGUCGGUGAUAGGCAAUAGGAAUGCAUACGUUUUGCAGAACUAAGCGUAUGCGAUACCCACAUAUAUCCCAAAUGCAAGUCCUCACACAACUGUUUGUGAUAUAUUGAAUAUCCCAACACUCCAUCAUUGAUGCUCGUGCGGGUUGGCAUUACCAUCGCACAUGGUAUUCUGUGGUGCAACGUUUACGAUGUGCUCCCCAUCACAAAUAGUUCAUGGUUGUAAAGCAUGUAUGAUAAGGAGACUAUCACAGACAUUUACUUUUCCCGAGGCGUAUGCGAUAUAUGCAAUUGAGAAUAUAAGUUAAUCAUCAUACGUGUGUCGUAUGAGUUUAUGAAACGUCUGACUAUCGUACUAGUGUUGUAUGGAAUAACUAUCGCACACGUUAUUUUGUGGUGAAACAUUGACGAUGCGUACGACAUCACAAACAGUUCAUAAUUGUAAAUCGUGUAUGAUAAGGCGACUAUCACAAACAUUUAGUGUUUGUGAUAUUGUCUGACAUCACACACGCUUUGCAAAUGGAAAUUGUGUGCUUGGUGGCACAUCUUUUCUCUCUAUGGACCGUGUCGUAUUAUGAGGUACAUCACACACGUCGUGCUUUACAGACCGUGUGCGGCAUAAUGACCUGCAGAGCUAUUUUCGUCCCUAAUUUAAUCGUUGCAAUUUAAAAUUGAACACAAUUUGAAUUUGAAAGUAGACAAUAACUUUAUUCAUAUCCAUCAAGUUCAAACACCAAUGCAUUAUUCAAUUGACACGUACAUAUUUUCAAGAAUUACAUCAAAAUAAUAAUUAUUACAUAAGCACCAAAUACAGAAUGAUAAACCAGGGUAAUAUACUUGUAUUAAAGAAGCUAAAGAAAGAGGCGAAAGACAUUCUGGUUGCUGAACAAGGUGAAGCACAAUGUCUAUAUUGUGCCCUCCUCCAUGCCGAAUGCACGCGCGACUCUAGUCCAAUCCCUUGUGAUGACCGACCGUCCAUCCUUCACUAUCUUCAUGAGGACUUCUAGAUAGUAAUUAUAGUCUGGUACAAAUACUUUAACCUUUGCAUUUCCACCAAUCAUGUAUUUUUAGAGUUAAUCUUGGGUAACCUGCUUUGGAAACCACGGCAAAGAAAAAAUAGACAUUGUCAUCUAACAACUCAUUAUGGGUAGCGAAAGAAGGCUACAAAGUUCUUACUUACCAUCCUCCAGUUCACCUUUGUCUUGGAUAAAUUGUAAACAAAUAAUUUAUUUGCUAUCUUUUGACCCAUUUUACUAACAAUCUUUAUUAGUUUCCUCAUCUCAUGUUGGUUCAUGAAUAUCUCAUUGCCCCAUACGCAAAAAGGGUCGAAGCGUGGAUCUUUACCAAUGACAUAUGUACCUACAAGCACCAAGUUAAUAUUAGGAACUAAACUGCAAUUGCACAAUGAUGUAGUAAACACUCCCUCUAUCCCAUUAUAUAAGGUCUUAUUAUAGAGUAAAGCAUUUUGGAGGCCGAGCUGCCUGGAGGCCAUAAUCCUGGUCGAUGAUUGUUACCUUGGGACCCGUGGCUUCUGGCUUUUCAGUGAUAUAUGCUAGCAAUUUUGUAGGAAUACAUUGAGCCAUUCUUUGGUGUUCUUGAUUUGUACGUGGGGCCCUGUUUAGGCCGGUGCUUGGAUGAACAUGAUGUUCUGCGUAGGCUGUUUUGAAUAUGACCUAGUACAUCAAUGAAUCAAUUGGAUGGGCCCACGGGGAGAUACUGGUAACUACUAGUGCUAGACAGCUGGCAGGCAGGUAUGUCUGUUCGGCCCGUUAACCCCUUAGCACACCAUAAACAGAGGUGCUUUCGCCAUGGAUGUCCUGGAGUUCUUCAAAGAGUGCUCUCGAUGCAUGGUAAUGUUGCAUCAGAUCUGAUUUGGUGUGUACUCCUUACACUUGCGGGGUUGUUUUGGGUUUGGAUGGCAAUGCUUUGGGUUGGUGAUUUUUCCUCUGUUCUCACCUAAGAACAGAUCUGACUGGUUAUUGCUUUCGUGUUUGGGCAGAUUAGUCCCUUGUUUGACGGCAGGGUUGUCUUACGAGCUAGAGAUGCUAGCGCACAGUCAAUGGAUGGUGAGAUGAAUGAAACUGCUGGGGUCCAAGAUGGAUUGAUUUCUUCUGAGUCAAGAAGAUAUGCUNNNNNNNNNNNNNNNNNNNNNNNNNNNNNNNNNNNNNNNNNNNNNNNNNNNNNNNNNNNNNNNNNNNNNNNNNNNNNNNNNNNNNNNNNNNNNNNNNNNNNNNNNNNNNNNNNNNNNNNNNNNNNNNNNNNNNNNNNNNNNNNNNNNNNNNNNNNNNNNNNNNNNNNNNNNNNNNNNNNNNNNNNNNNNNNNNNNNNNNNNNNNNNNNNNNNNNNNNNNNNNNNNNNNNNNNNNNNNNNNNNNNNNNNNNNNNNNNNNNNNNNNNNNNNNNNNNNNNNNNNNNNNNNNNNNNNNNNNNNNNNNNNNNNNNNNNNNNNNNNNNNNNNNNNNNNUGGGAUAACACUGUGCGUAAAUUGAGAAUAUUGUGUGGUGUAAAAUUGUGUUAGAUGAAAUACAGUUGGAUAAUAUGGUGCUUGUUGGGAAUCGUUGCAUGGAAAACAAAAAAAUCUAUGCACACUCAAUUAUCUAUCCAUGGAUAUGCAUAGCAACGAGGGGGAGAGUGUGUCUCCGUACCCUCGUAGAUCAUAAGCGGAAGCGUUUCACAACACGGUUGAUGUAGUCGAACUUCUUCACGCUUCAACCGAUCAAGUACUGAACGCACGACACCUCCAUGUUCUGCACAUGUUUAGCUCGGUGACGUCCCUCGCCUUCUUGAUCCAGCAAGACGUCGAGCUAGUAGAUGAGUUCCAUCAGCACGAUGGUGUGAUGACGGUGAUGGUGAAGUGAUCUCCGUGGGGCUUCGCCUAAGCACUACGAAAAUAUGACCGGGGUGUAAACGGUGGAGGGGGGCGCCGCACACGGCUAACAAUUGUCUGGGGUGUGCUAGGCGCCCCCUCCCACAUAUAUAUAGGUGGGAGGGGGAGGGAAGAGGCCAGGGCGCUCCCUAGGGCUGGCCGCCGGCCCACUAGGGGCCCUGCCUUGCCUUGCGACCCCUGCCAUGUUUUCUCAAGGGGAAGGAAAGAGGGAAGGAAGUGGGAAUCCAAAUCCACACUUUCCUUUCCCUUCUCCCCUUUCCUUCUCCUCCUUAGGCCAUCCUAUAUGGGGGGCGCACAAGCCCCUUGUGGCUGGUGCAUUUCCCCUCUUGGCCCAUAAGGCCCAUAUCUUUUGCCGAGGGUGCCCGAAACCCCUUCCGGUGACCCGAUAAGUACCCAGUACCCCCCGAAACACUUCCGGUGUCCAAAUACCAUCGUCAUAUAUACAUAUAUAUAUAUAUAUAUAUAUAUAUAUAUAUAUAUAUAUAUAUAUAUCAAUCUUUACCUCUCGACCAUUUUGAGACUCCUCGUCAUGUCCGUGAUCUCAUCUAGGACUCCGAACAACAUUCGGUCACCAAACCACAUAACUCAUAUAAUACUAUAUCGUCAUCGAACAUUAACCGAUAGCGGAACCUGGAUAUAUUCUACGAAGAUCUUUAUCCGUCGAAUCGUUAUGACAACAUACGUAAUUCCCUUUGUCCAUCAGUAUGUUUACUUGCCCGAGAUUCGAUCAUCGGUAUCUUCAUACCUAGUUCAAUCUCGUUAUUGGUAAGUCUCUUUACUCGUUCCGUAAUACAUCACCUCGUGUCUAACUCCUUAGUCGCUUGUGAUACGUCUCCAAUGUAUCUAUAAUUUUUUAUGGUUCCAUCCUUUUAUUACCAAUCUUGGAUGUUUUAUAAUCAUUUUAUAUCAUUUUUUGGUACUAACCUAUUGACAUAGUGUCGGGUGCCAGUUCCUGUUUUUUUCCAUGUUUUUACAUCGCAAGGAAUCAAUAUCAAACGGGGUCCAAAUGGCAUGAAACUUUACGAUGAUUUUUUAUGGGCCAAAAGGAAGCAGAUUGGCCCUGGUUGCACCUGGGGUGCCCCGAGGGGGCACAACCCACCAGGGUGCGCCAGGAGGCCCUGGCGCGCCCCGGUGGGUUGUGCCCACCUCGGGUGCCCCCUGGACCGCCUCUUUGCCCUAUAAAUACCCAAAUAUUCCCAAAACCCUAGGGAAGUCGACGAAAUAUUCAUCCAGCCGCCGCAGAGUCCAGAAACACCAGAUCCAAUCUAAACACCGUCACGGAGGGGUUCACCACUUCCAUUGGUGCCUCUCCGAAGAUGAGUGAGUAGUUCUUUGUAGACUUGGGUUUGUAGUUAGUAGCUAGAUGGCUUCAUCUCUCUCUCUCUCUUGAUCCUCAAUACAAUGGUCUCUUGGAGAAACAUAUGAUGUAACUCUUUUGCGGUUUGUUUGUUGGCAUUGAUGAACUUCGAGUUUAUGAUCAGAUCUACGUUUUUAUAUCGAUGAAACUAUUUGAGUUUCUUUGAUCUCUUUUAUGCAUGAUCUCUUAUAGCCUCGUAUUUCUUCUCCGAUAUUUGGGUUUUGCCUGGCCAACUCGAUCUAUUUAUCUUGCAAUGGAAAGAGGUGCCCGGUAGUUGGUUCAAUCUUACGAUGCAUGAUCCCAGUGACAGAAAGGGAACCGACACGUAUGUAUCGUUGCUACUAAGGAUAAAAAGACGAGAUCUAUAUCUACCGCCAUAUAGAUAAACAAAUCUUGUCUACAUCAUGUCAUCAUUCUUAUUGCAUUACUCCAUUUUUCCAUGAACUUAAUACACUAGAUGAAUGCUGGAUAGCGGUCGAUGUGUUGAGCAAUAGUAGUAGAUGCAGGCAAGAGUCGGUCUACUAAUCUUGGACGUGAUGCCUAUGUAAUGAUCAUUGCCUGGAUAUCGUCAUAAUUAUUUGAAGUUCUAUCAAUUGCCCUAAAGUAAUUUGUUUACCCACCAUUUGCUAUUUUCUUGAGAGAAGCCACUAGUGAAACCUACGGCCCCCGGGUCUUAUUUCUCAUAUAUUUGCCUUUGUGAUCUACUUUUUCAUUGCUUUUAUUUUCAGAUCUAUUGAACCAAAAAUACAAAAAUACUUUGCUGCACUUUAUUUUAUUUGCGAUCUAUUUAUCCCAUAUAUUACAAUCUUUUUACCGUCACGCACCAAUUUCUGGCGCCGUUACCCGAAAGGGAUUGACAACCCCUUUAACACGUCGGGUUGCGAGGUGUUGUUAUUUUUGUGCAGGGGAUGUUUACAUUGUGUUGCUUGGUUCUCCUACUGGUUCGAUAACCUUGGUUUCAUAUCUGAGGGAAAUACCUACUGCCGCUGUGCUGCAUCAUCCCUCCCUCUCCGGGAAAAUACCGACAUAGUUCCAGCUGCCAUCAAGGAGAAUUUCUGGCGCCAUUGCCGGGGAGGAUCAAGUCAAUAUAGUCUCCCGGCCACGUGCCUUUCUAGCGCCGUUGCCAAGGAGGAUCUUCAACAUAACCAGGUUCCUAAUCAUAAAUCUCAUCUCCUUGCAAUUUACAUUAUUCGCCAUUUGCCUCUCAUUUUCCUCUCCCCCACUUCACAAAAAUUUGUUGUUUUAUUCGCUUCUCUUUUCUGUUCGCCAUUUUCUUGCCAAAUUUGUUUUUGUGUGCAAUAUUUUUUUUCUACCUUUGCUUGUGUUACCAUGUGCCUUCCAUUUGCUUGCAUCUUCGCUUGCUAAAAAUCUAUUGAUAUGAAUCCUCAUCCACUUUCUAAUCUUUUCAAAAGAUCUGAUUAUGUUGAACCAAUUGCUAGGAGUUGAGUGCACUUGAUUAUAUUUAUGAAAUUUUAUUUGAGAAUCGUGAAUCUGAAAAUUGUCAUGAAGAAAUUUAUGAAGUGAUUCAUGAUAGCUCCUUGAAUGAAAAGCAUGAUUGCAAUAAUUUUACUAUAAAUUCUAUUAAUGUCAAUUGUGCUAAUAAUAUGCAAAACCCCAAGCUUGGGGAUGCUAAUUUUGAUAUGUCCACUACUUAUUGCAAUCAUCAUGAUUGGGGUGAUGAUUCUUAUGAUCUUGAAAUUUUAUUUAAACCUCAUGAUGAAUAUGCUUGCCAUAUAUUGAAAGUGGGUUUGGAAGAGAGUCAACUCUAGGUGAUAAAGAUCCCACUACUUUGGAGAAUAAUCAAUCUUAUGAAAUAUUUGAUAAAAGAGGGCUUGGAGAGGUCAUGGCUUUAUUUGAUGAUGAUCCCACUAUUUUGGAUGAGUGUCACCUUUGCAUGCAUGUGGAUCAUGAAGAGAAUAUUUUAUGGGAAGGUUAUAUUUUUGAAUUUGAUUAUGAUCCUACAUAUAAUUAUUAUGAGAGGGGAAAAUAUGCUUGCAGAAAUUUUCAUGUUACUAAAUUACCUCUCUUCAUGUUGAGAUUGCUAUUGUUUUCUUCCAUGCAUAUGCUAGAUCUUGCUUGUCUUGCUAAUUUGUUUUCCUAUAAAAUUCCUAUGCAUAGGAAGUAUGUUAGACUUAAAUGUGUUCGUCACAUGUUUUAUGAUGCUCUCUUUGUGUUUCAAUUAUUAUCAUCCUCGUGAGCAUCAAUAAAAAUUAUGCCUAGCUAAGGGCGUAAAACUAUAGUGCUUGUUGGGAGGCAAUCCAAUGAAUAAAAUUUAUUUUUGCUUUUUGCUUUCUGUUCUUGAGUGUUAGCACAAUUAUGAUACUUUGAUAAUUGUGUUUUUUUGUUUUAAUUACUGUUUGUGCCAAGUAAAGCCUUUAGGAUCUUCUUGGGCAAUAGUUGUUUGAUCUUGCUGCAAAAAACUGAAAGUUUUGCGCUCACAAAAUUAAUUUUCAUUUUUUACUAGAGAGCGAUAAAAUACCCAUUCCAAUUGCAGUACAUCAAUAUACAAAUUUUGAGGUAGUCCUAAUUUUUCAGAGUUUUUGGAGUUACAGAAGUAUUUGAAAUAGUCAGGUUUCUCUAGACUGUUCUGUUUUGACAGAUUCUGUUUUCUUUGUGUUGUGUGCUUAUUUUGAUGGCUCUAUGGUUUUCUUUGAUGAGUUUUUGCCAUAGAAAAGUUGGAAUAUUGUAGAUAUAAUACAAAAAAAAUAUGAGUUGGUUUGAUACAACACUUAUAGUAGUGAUUUAUUAUUUUUAUACUAACGGAUCUCACGAAGGCUUUGUUGAGUUUUGUGUGAUUGAAGUUUUCAAGUUUUGGGUUAUCUUACGAUGGAUGAAGGAAGGAUGUAACAGCCUAAGCUUGGGGAUGCCCCGACAUCCCAAGAUAUUAUCCAAUAAUGAGCAACCAACUAAGCUUGGGGAUGCCCCCGAGUGGCAACUCCGCUUUCUUCAAACAACUAUCGGUAUUUUACUCGAGACUAUAUUUUUAUUCGUCACAUGAUAUGUGUUUUGCUUGGAGCAUCUCGUAUGACAUGUGUCAUUGCUUGUUUUAUUUUGUGUUUUAAGUUAUCAAUCCUUGCUGGACACACCUAUUUGAGAGAGCCAAAAUUAUGUCAUGACUUGCUAGAAUUGCUCUCUAUGCUUCGCUUAAAUCUUUUAUGAGUUAGGACUUGCUGCUCUAACCACCACUAUAAAUAUUUGUAUAGUCGACACUUGACAUAUAUUAAUAAAAAGAGAAAGAAUGUCAGUGGGAGCCUUUCCCACUGUCACCAGCCCUAAAAAAGGUAUCCAACGUACCGAUCUAGCAGCACUGCGACACUCCAUGAAGCUAGCGUGAAGAACUGCAAUGAGAAACUACAGGGAGAAGCGGCCUAUCAUUGAACUGAUGUAGAUCAGAUGAAGAUGGAGAGAGGUGGGCGGCGGUUAGCAAGGGAGGGGGUCAACCGAGGGGCUUGGUGUGUUCCUUGGUGUGCCCCUCCCCACCUAUACAUAGGCGGAGGGUCCAAGUGGGUCGACCAACUUGGGGGCAGAGUCCUAGUCCUAUUAGGACUCCCUCCUCCACUUGCCUUGCCGCCCAAGCAAGGAGGGCGGGGGGGGGGAGGGGGCUUUGCCGACUCGGGCCCAUGGUGGAAAAACAAUAAUUAUUUUAUUAAUUAUAGGACCAACAGUGAAAUGGACGGUGAUGGUGGACCUCGCCCAUCACACUGUUACUGUUUCCGCUUCAACAUCUGCCCCUUCCACUUUUGGCAAGCAUCAUGCGCCUAUGUCGGAGGCUAGCAAUAUUUUUUUACCUGAAAGAGUAGGAGAGCCUCCAAGUGUAUUUUUAUAUUGAAUAAAUUAAUCAAAUUUGUACAUAUUUACAUGGCAAUACAUGCCACUUUGGGUAUGCCGGAAAAAGAAAGAAAAAAGUCAGAAGGCAAAAGCUAAUAGCAAACUAACAACAAACUAGUUGUUCUAGUGAAUGGAGGACGCAAAAGCAGAGAUGAAAGGUUUGUGAGCUUCUUUGAGAGAGGAAAGGUUCAUGAGCUACUUUGACCCUAUAGACUAUUAAGGUGAGAUCCUCUUUUAGUCUUGCAACCCAAGAGUUGAUGCUUGGCCGAACUCCUCUAAGAUGAUUGUUGUUUCUUUCUUUCCAAAGACUCUGGGAAGCAGCCAUUUUUUCAGAAACAUGGGCCUCCCGCACAAAUAGUUUUGAGUAAAGUGCAUUUUUUGUCCCUCAACUUAUCGUGGCGUGCGACUUUCGUCCUUGAACAUUUUUUUGGUUGCAACCUUAGUCUCUCGACUCUUAAUAUCAGGUAUAGUUAGUCCCCGACAGUUGUAUUCCUCGGUCAAACCCGAUUUCGACCUUAUGUAACAUGGUUUUGGCCAAAGCACCGCCAUACGAUGGCAUAGGGGCAUUCAAGGCAAUGCAUCGUGCUCACCACCACCGAUUGGACCGAUGAUCGGGAGGAUUCGGUAGCGGUGGUAGUUAGCUCGCGAGAGGAAGAGCAAGGCAAGAGACGAAAAGAGGGGAAAGGGGGUCAUCUAGGAAUGAACUAGAGAGAGAGAGAGAGCGAUGGAUAGAUAGAUAGAUGGAUGGAUGGAUGGAUAGAUAGAUAGAUAGAUAGAGAGAGGGAGAGAGAGAGAAGGGAGGAGGAUUAGAGAUAGAUGGAAUGUGGUUCUAUUCCACCUUACCGUGAUGACGUGAUCAAAAUUGUGCCAUGAAAAGGCAAAACCGGAUUUGGUGGAGGAAUACUCUUGUUAGGAACUAAUUUUACCCGAUAUUACGAGUUGUGGGACAAAGGUUGCACCAAAAUGUGGUCAAAAUCGUGACACAUCAGGUCAAAAUCGGUUUUGACCAAGGAAUACCGUUGUUAUGGACUAACUAUACCUGAUAUUAAGAGUUGAGGGACGAAGGUUACAACAACAAAAAGGUUCAGAGACGAAAGCCACACUUCGCGAGAAGUUGAGGGACGAAAAAUGCACUAUGCUUAAUAGAGUUUUUUCUUGGAUGGUUUUUUGAAACCUGGUGACCGAAGGGUGCUAAAAAAUACCAAGUCCGUGCAACUUUGACUAAAUGGGCAAGUGAAUAUCAUGUGAUGAAUGGUCUCUUUGAUGGGUGCUUCACAAAGAAAACAAUGAUUAUAGUGGUGUCUCUUUAAGCAUGUUGUGUGUGUCCAGCCUAUCAAAAAGAAGCAGUCAACCAAACACCUCGAUCUUCAUGGCACACUUUGAUUUCCAAAUCCAUUAAUACGCAUGAUGGGGUUGGGUGUUUCUGAAGUAGAAUGCAUAAUAUCGACUCAAUUUAAACUCCACUACACCCUAGACAUAGUGCCAUUAUUUGUUGUGCGUAUAAGUAUCAGGUGUAAUGUGGGUUGUGUUAGCUUGAAGACCACGUACCUCCUUAUGAGCUUGUACGGACAGUGGUAGGUGAAACGCCUCCUCCAAAGACGUGAUGCCCACGAAAUUACUCGAUUUAAAUCCACGACACCCUAGACAAAGCGAUAUUUUUCAUGUGUAGAAGAAUCAGGUGCAAUGUGUCACGUCUUCAUGAGCUUGUACGGAUAGUGGUAGGUGAAACGUCUUCUCCAAAGACGUGAUGCCCAAGAAAUUACUCGAUUUAAAUCCACUACACUCUAGACAUAGCGACAUUUUUCUGUGUAGAAGAAUCAUGUGCAAUAUGGGUUGUGCUAGCUUGAAGAUCACGUACCUCCUCAUGAGCUUGUACGGACAGUGGUAGGUGAAACGCCUCCUCCAAAGACGUGAUGCCCAAGAAAUUACUCGAUUUAAAUCCACUACACCCUAGACAUAGCGACAUUUUUCAUGUGUAGAAGAAUCAGGUGCAAUAUGGGUUGUGUUGGCUUGAAUACCACAUACCUCCUUGUGAGCUUGUAUUGACAGUGGUAGGUGAAACGCCUCAUUCAAAGACGUGAUGCCCAAGAAAUUUUUAACUGAAAGAAUAUUAUCAUGCCAAAGGUCCUUCCAAACAAGAGUCAUGGAGCCGCAUUGAAUUCCCACCCUUGAGAAUUCAAGAAAGUUAGGGCAAAGUUUAAUGAUAUCACGCCACCAAAAGGAACCACAAGGAUCAGAAGUGUGCAGUGGAGGUGUAGCAUGUGCGGGACCGUGGAGGCUACCGGUGUCUUGAUGAAUCCGGUGUAUGCGGAAACCCUAAUGACUCAAUUGUAAUAUAUUUUCCUUUUAGUACAUUACGCAAAUCUUCUAUCACAACUGGCGUAUCAUGAUUUCUGUAAGAUUUCGUGGCUGUUUAUAAAUGUACUAUAUUUAUUGUUCAAUUUUAGUGUGCUGUUAUCUAUAAAGAAAAUCUGUAUUUUUGUACGAAAAUUAAUGAUAAGAUCCACGAUGAGUUGGUGAUAUCGAAAUGGACGGUGGAUGAUCGACCUGGCCCAUACUGUUUCCGCUUGGACAGCCACCGUCACGUUCCUUCGCGCUUGCCUUCCCGUUUUCAGCUUUGGCCACCCACCGUCCACCUACCACCGCACCACACUGCUUCUUGCCCUCUCCAUCUACAAAAACCCUCGAUCCACCCACGGCCAGCCAGCCAGCCGCCGCAAAGCCGCACAGAUUCCCAAGCCCGAAACCUAGAGAUCUGUUCAGUCGGCGGAGGCGAAGUGUCGGGUCAGGGGCUCAGGGCGGCAUGUCGGGCGGCAGAAGGGGAGCAGGGGAGGAGCUGCCGGAGGAGGAGGUGGUGCCAGUGGAGGACGCCGUGAAGAUGCUCGUGGAGCACCUCGUCAAUCUCGCUCUUCCGCGUGGGGCGGUCUUCGGCGCCACCCAGGGCGGGCGCUACGUGGCGCCGGACAAGCAACGCGCCGUCGCGCAGGAGGUGAGCGGUUCGCGUCUCUCUCUCUCUCUCUCUCUCUGGUCGUUCGUGCGCGGGCGCGGGGUCGGGGUGGUGGUAGAAUUUCCUUGCAGUUUUGGCCGAGGCUUGCGCUGGUAGGGAAGGGAUGGAAGCUGACCCGUACUACGUUGGUGCGGUGACGGCAGGCCGGUGGGCGAGCUGCUGAAAGCUGACCCGUACUACGGCUGGUGCGGCGACGGCAGGCCGGUGGCCGAGCUGCUAAAAGAAAGGCGCUGACGGCUGCAAAUUCUCGUUACCGUCGCCCUGGCCGUCGUUGUUGUCGUCGUCGCCUUCGAGAGCUGCAAUAAAGGUGUGGUGACAACUGCAAAACUCUCUUGUUCCCGUUGCCGUCGCGUUCGGGCCGCCGGUGAUGCGUAUGUGAUGCCUUCAGGGAAAAGACAUGCAUGCGUGUAGUGGUGAAGAUACAACUUUCUUUUGCGGUAGAUCCUGCGGCCGACUACUUUGGCUCAAUUUUUUCCCACGCGUGCGAGCACAGAAUACAAUCAGUUUUGUCCAAUACCGCUUAGCGAGUAAGACCUGAAUCUACUUAGAGCAUGGCUAAUAGAAUCGCCCGCUGCUGGCUGUAAAAGACGUCUCGUGUAGUAAGGCUGGCUCUAUGUGAGAUUGUGAGCUGCUGGCUGACUAGAAUAAGUUGAUUGAAUGGUGAGGUGAGGCACAGGGAAUCGGGAGCAGCGGCACUAGCGCUGGCUUCAGGGCUGCAUGCGGGCUGAACUUCCUCGCGUCUUGUGCUACAGCCGAGCGCUUCGUCAAGCGCUCGCUCCCUUCUCUCUCCUGCCUUUACUCCCCUUCAGAUCAGAAUUUUGCUGAGGUGGAAUGACUUGUAGUCGGCUAAGUGGGACUAUUAUACUUGCUGUUAUAAGGAGGAGGCCCUUAUACUUGUCAAGAAGGUCAGAUACACUAAUAGGUUAGGAUUAGGAUUUAAUUCAAUUUGAUUGGCCAGUUCUCAACGGCUCCAACGAGCCAGGGCGUACGAUUAGAGGAUUUGCAUGCUCGCUUAGUUUAGCCACCAUGUGUAUAUAUAGGCUGUUGCACUUCAAGACGGAAGUGCUCAAUGUGAUAUGGACAUUCAGAAAAUUAAGACUGGUAUUCUACCAUUUUACACAUCUAAACAUCGUUAGAUUGAUAAUCACUUGUAGAAUUGUCAUUGUUUUGUGGCAAACAUUGUGGCAUGUUUUGCUGGGAGCCAUACAUUUCCCCAAGUUCUGUGUUAAACUACCGUGUACCUCACUUUAAACUGUGGACAAAUCGUCCAUUAGAAGUAUGGCAAAUUUUGGCAAGAAUUUAUUUUUAUAUGAGUUCCACAUUUCCAUUACUCAUCAUGUUUAAACCUUAUGUAGAAGAGAAGAUGACAACAGAAGUGUUGUCAAUAAUGGAGAAAUAUAAUGAACCUAACUCAAAUGUAAUGAAAGUUGCCAAUCUAACUUUCUCUGGCGAUGAUGGCAAAACCAAGAGCACUAAGAGGAUGGGAUUGAACUUGAAGGAGGCACUCGCCCAACGCGAUAAAUGCAUGGUAAGAAACCUCGCGCUCAACUGAUGCAUUAAAUUCUAAAAUGCCAUAUGUACUUUUGACACUUGUCAAUGCAGGAGCUUGGUGAGAUCUGUUGUGGUUGCGAUUGGAUGGCCCCUAGAUACACAGUAGUACCGUCACCAGCAGAUGGUAUGUGUAAAUACAUUUACUCUUAUCUCUUUAAUUUUCCAAAUGGACAAGCAAUUCUUGGACCUUAUACGCACAGUGAUAAAGAAUUUCAUAUAAAUGGGUCUCGCGCCACGUACUUUUCGAUUAGCGUUUAUUGAAUCCAAUCCCUAUAGUGUGUCGUUAGUAUCAUGCAUUGAAAUGUUACCAUAUAUGGUGUACUAAGCUUGGCAUGCUUGGGAAAAGAGUUUUUCAAGUGGUCAGAUCUAUAAACGCGCGUUGGGUUUAUUCAAGUGUUAGGUUUAUUCAGCGCGUCAUAGUUUGGUCCAUGGUUACCAAAGACAUCUAUCACGUCAUUGUAGGAUCUAUCAGAGAUCACCUCUACUCACUUCAUUGCAUUCCAUUUGUCAAGAACUGAAUAGGUGUUCGCCUAGCAAUAACCAGGAACUGCUCUUUGAUUUAGUGCCAUCUUCUCUCAUCCGUAGCUCUCAGACAUUGUUUUCCAAGCACUUAUUCACCGGUUACUCUCCUAUCUUUUUAGGAAUGCACGUUGGCGAAGUACGUUUGAAAUGCCCUGAUUUUGAGAUGAGCAUCACUGGCGAUCCUCGUCCGACCCCAUAUGAUGCCAGGUGCUCUGCAGCUGCCAAUAUGAUACUGGAGCUUGGCAAGAAAGUGCAGUAAAAAGAACAACAUGAUAACUGAUGCAAAGUUGCUAGCUGGAACUAGUAGGAGCUGGGACCAAUAUUAGUAAAGGGUGAAAUAAAGCAACUUAGAUGUUUGUUGUUCUUAUGUAUGAAUGGUAUAAUGAUUUGUGUUGUAUGAGUUUGUACUGUAUUGCAUUGUGCAUGUGUGUGCUAACCAUGUGCUCAAACCGAUUACUUUUACCAUUAUUUUAUUUGAGUUUCCUUUGUUUUGGGGACCUGUUCAAACUUGCUUUUGGGCGGAAUUUCACGUGUGUGCAUACACAGUGGGUUACAUUUUCCCAAAAUUAUAGCACCUUUUUGGAAGGAUGCUUAUUAUUUCUAAUUUAGCAAUUGUAUUCCUGUGUAUCUUGCUAGGUUUUGCGAGUGAGGCAUUUUGGAGUUUGAAUUAUAAAAAUAUCAAACACCAUAGCUCGAAGUUAGAAAAAAAUCAUACGUUUUAUACAUAUGUUCAUAUGGAUGCAUUCUACAAGUGUAUGAUGUUCCACGAUGAUACGCUGAUAUCUGAGCUACACAAAAAUGCAAAAUUUGUGAAUUUCUAAUAAUGAACAAUGGAUGUACUGUUCACCAUUAUCAAAGUUACGAUAUUUUUUGUAGUUCACAUGUUAACAUAUAUCAACAUUAAACAUUAAAUACAUGUAGUAUAACUCCAUAUAAACAGGUGGAGUUAUUUAAAAAAAAUGAAAGUUCAAAGUGUGACUUUUGAUUUUUUUUUCAAAAGAAAAAUAAGCUCAGUACACCAAUAUUUGUUAUAUCUGUCCAAAUAUGUUAUUCUCACCACCCGUGGGAGCUCUCUAAAAGUUGGGCCAGAAAAUUUCCUAUUGUUCCUUUAAUAAAGUUUACCCAUAUUACUAUAUUAGUGGUGAAAUGACCGAAUGAUGAUAACCAUAUAAGUAUGUGAAUUGUUCUAGAAAAAUAUAAGUAUGUGAAUUAUUAAUUGUCAUGCAUUACAUAAGUUAUAGGUUCAGCAAUCAAAAUAAAACAUGGUUCAACAAUUCAACACAAGCUAAAAUAAAAUUCAACAAUUCGUACGUAGGUGAUACACAAAUGAAUCUAUCAACUCUCUUGUUGCGCUCCUUUUUGUUGUCAAAUCACUUCUUAAUUUCUCAUCCAAGAGGCUAGUUUCCCGCAACAAGACCUCGACUCCUCCAUGUCACUCGAAAGCCUCAACUUCUCUUUCUCGAGCUCAUUUGGUUCCAAUGCCUUAGCCUUUUCAAGCUCCCAUUUUGCCCACUUCUCUUGCUUCUCUAUGUCUAUCUUCUCCCUCUGAAUGUUCAACGUCUUGUGCACCCUCUCUCAAUCAAACAACAUGCUCUCCAUUUGCACAUCCAAGAAAAGCUUGUUCCUCUCCUCCUUCUGCUCCCCCUUGGUGGAAAUAAUGUGUGUCCAUGUGGCAGACAUUUUGCUUGUCGCAUUGUCAUGCACGACCCUCUCCUUAUCCUACUUCUUUCCCAUCACCCGACAUUUCCUAUUUGUCAUGGUCCCAUCUCCGGCCGCCCCUCCACUUGGCAUACCAUUGACAUCCAAUCCAAUAGACUGAUGCACUAUUGGGAAAGGGCUUAUAGGUGAACCCAAAUGAGUGACGGGCGAGGUGGGGGACCCUCCACAACUAUUUUUAUAAAAGAGCAGUGGUGUGUAGCCGGUCGUACCCGUCAUAGUUACGGGCUAUCCAGUGGCGGGCGCUAGUAAGCACCCGCCACAGGUAGCCACUACAAGAAAUAUGUCAACUUGUGACCUUGACUAUUGGUCACUGAAAGGUCAUUGGUUUUCAUUUGCGACCUUUUUAUGACCAAAAACAGGAGUUCAAAAGCUGGCGGUUGUAAAUUGGAAUUAACGACCUUCUCCGUGAGAAGGUUGUAGACGUUUACGACCAAAAUAUGCCUAUUGUUUUGUUUUGGUCACUAACAGCCUCCCCAGACCACGUAGGCAUCCGACGUGGCAAUCUGAUGUGGCACAAGAAUGAGCCCGGUCCAAUUCAAUUUUCUACAUGGGCCUAGCCCAACAAUUCGACCUUUUUAAUGUAUUUUUUUUCCUAUCCUUUUAUUAGCUACAUGGGUCUGACCCACUAAUUCGGCCCAUGUAUUAUUUUUUAGGCAAGCCCUUUAAUAUAUGUAUUUUAUGUUAAUUUCGGUUAGCUACAUGGGCCUGGCCUACAAUUUGGCCUUUUUAUUUUCUAGCGCAAAGCAUUUUGUAGUCAAUUUAUUUUCUAUUUCCAACUUUUUUCCCAGCUCCAGUUUACAAAUGGGUCCCAAAUGUUAGAUUUUCACACCUUAUUAAUAAGAAAUAUAUAUGUAUAUAUCAAACAGGCAGAAGAGAGAAAGCAUAUGAAAAUCUUCAAAUGACAGCUAAAAUAAGUUUAUUACAAUAUGCUAUAUAGAACAGAACACGUGAAACUACAUACACUCAUUCACAUCACAACAACUAGUUUCCAUACACUCAUUCACAUCACAUCAACCAGUUUAACCAACGAAUCUUGCAUACCCAGGAACUUCAAACUUCACCCAGAUCCACACAAUCAUAAAUAUUGGAAUCUACAAAUAGACCGCUCUGCCAGUAGAAAAGCUAGCUACUCUUGGAUACCACAGAACAUGCUCUUCAACAUGGGUAGAAGUCCUCAACGGAGUUCUACCAACAACACAAGUUCCAUUCACCUACAAGAAUAGAAUGGAAUAUCAAGUACUUGCAUUCUUCAAGAAGAUUNNNNNNNNNNNNNNNNNNNNNNNNNNNNNNNNNNNNNNNNNNNNNNNNNNNNNNNNNNNNNNNNNNNNNNNNNNNNNNNNNNNNNNNNNNNNNNNNNNNNNNNNNNNNNNNNNNNNNNNNNNNNNNNNNNNNNNNNNNNNNNNNNNNNNNNNNNNNNNNNNNNNNNNNNNNNNNNNNNNNNNNNNNNNNNNNNNNNNNNNNNNNNNNNNNNNNNNNNNNNNNNNNNNNNNNNNNNNNNNNNNNNNNNNNNNNNNNNNNNNNNNNNNNNNNNNNNNNNNNNNNNNNNNNNNNNNNNNNNNNNNNNNNNNNNNNNNNNNNNNNNNNNNNNNNNNNNNNNNNNNNNNNNNNNNNNNNNNNNNNNNNNNNNNNNNNNNNNNNNNNNNNNNNNNNNNNNNNNNNNNNNNNNNNNCAGGAAAGCUGAUGGAGCAAAAUCAAACAACUGAUAAAUCAAGUAAACAUACCAUUUGGAAAAAAAUAUACUACCAGGCUUGAACAUGAGCAUAGAAAAGAAAACAUGAUCUCAGUGAAAUUAAAAUGGUCGAUGGAAGAUGAAUAACAGUGUAGCUGAUUAGCUCCUAGUAUGAAGGAACAUCACAAAAUUAAACAAGAUGGUCGUGCAAGUUUCUAUACAAGUAUUCGUGAUUACGGUUUGUUAUUGUCGUCUAAAUUCUCCAACAUGCACAAAAUUAACUAAUACAUCUGAAUGAGCUACCAAUGAAGCAAAUUCUAAAAGAUACACGGACAGGGCUUAAUUAGCCAACCAUGUCAUUCUAUAAACACACAACAAACUCGACGAUAACAUGUAUAGUUAUUACCAUAUAACAUGGGAAACAUACCUAUUGUCCACAUAUUUCAUAAUGUAAACAGCUAAAUGCUACAGGAAAUAGAUUGUUGAGCAUUUCUGCCCUUCUUUCAAGACAGCACCAGCAUAACACUCUCACUAUAACAAGAUCCACACAGACCACCAUCUGCAGCAACCGCACACACAAAGCAACCAAGGUUGAAGAGAGUGAGAUUACCUUGUCACCGUAGAUCUUAGAACACACCUCGUGCAUGAGGAAGUCCUUGUCGUCCACGGCCAAGCAACAGGAUGCUGGUGGAGCAUCCCUCAUCGAGCCUACAGGAAGUUUUGCAUAUAGUUAGAAAAUCCGGAAACGUACGGGAUGGACUACCAUAACAUAGCAUUGACGGAAAAAACUAAAGAGGAUGUAACUGAAUCUCCUGUAGCUCUAGCCUCCAGCAUGCACCCGAGAUUCAGUUCCCAUGAAUCCAGAAGAGCAAUUAAAUACAUGGCAAAGAAGCUUUACAAGAAAAAAACUACUACUAUAGAUUGGAGUGAAAUCAAAGUACCACUACUAAUGUAGAUUGCAAAUAAUAUGAGCAAAUCAAACAAAAAUAUUAUUGCAAAAUAUAUGGAUUUAUAGCUAGGAUCAAUAAGCUAAGAUCAAAUGUCAUACUAAUAUGUUCUAAUCAUGUUCUUGCUUGCUGCAAUAUAAAGAACAUCACCACACAGACUACACAUGCUAGGACUAGCAUUGGUUAAAAAUAACUAAUAAUCACAGGAAGUCCUACAAUGAAGUAGGACCAGGAUAGGUACUCCUCAUGAUUAGUCACCACUUACAGCCACAAGUCAGUGAUGCUCCAACACAACACUCAUGGACUAAAAUAACAAGAUAAGAUGUUGCCAGACAAAGAUGGCAUUUGUAUAGACCUUGAAAAAAACAUACAAGUUAGGGAUGCAUAUUGAUUUUGCUAAUAUGUUAUAAUUGUCUACUCUGGAGUUGCACCAUCACAUAACAACAUGCUACACUCUUAGGUAUGUUAAGCAGCACCUAUUUAUCUGAACUUAGUGUUGAUAAAAAGUGUCUGCUGAAUUCCAUAGGGCAACAUAUGAAGUGAGGAGAUUUAUUCCUCAUGACACUACAGGCAGAUAUUAAGAACACAAACUAAUGGGUAUAUAUGCAUGCUUAGGAUGGAGCAUACAGAACAAGCAGAAUUUUCGUUGUAUUAAGAAAAGGUCAGGACUGUAGUAUUAUAAUCCAUAGCAUGCACAAAAUUGAUCUUUUCAUAGUACUACAUUCAUUGUUGUCAUUGGCAUAAAAAACUAUAGUAUUGAAAUGCUUGGUUUUUUCAGAAACUUCGCUUGCAAUAGUCAAAGUAAUUGUCAUGCCAAAUCUGUUCUACAAAAUUAAUAAUCUAGAAGUCCAUCAUAUGAUGACUCGAAAUACCUAGAGACAGAAAAUUUAAUCACCACUUUAGAGACCAGGACUCACUCAUCAAGAAAACACCUUAUUUAUGCAACAGAUCAUACAUAGUCAUGUCUAUCAUUUAACCACCACAGAUUGUUCAUACUUGAAAUUUUAAGGAUACACAACCAUACUUAGAUCUCCCUCUACAUCACCACUAGGACUUGCAUUAACUUGACCGCCAGUAACUAAAAGCCAUAGUAAUUGGCAAAAUUUGCAUCAAGCCAAACUUAAAGAGCUAAUACUGCUUGUUGGUCUUCUCAGCGACAUGCCCAGCACUUACAGCCGUGACGUCUUGGUCAGUCUCGGCGACAUGCCCAACACUUGGCUCCAACACCGCUCCGAGCCGCUGACUGACGUACGAGGGCAACCAUAGUUGGAAUCUGCCUGGACUUGCUGGCCAUCGCCUGAUUUCGCCCCCCCCCUACCCACUGCUCUGCCUGCAGGUAUAUAUAACAAUAAAAUGAGGUAAAAUGAGAACCAACAGAGCACUUUCUGUAUUACCAGAACAAAACUGAAAUUCAAACAAUAACAUGGCCCUUGGUAUGGAAACAAUUCUGCAGGUAUAUACCAAUAAAAUGAGGUGAAAUGAGAACCAACGGCACAAUGUCCAAAAAAAGCCAGCAGGAUGAAGUUAUAGCCAGCUAGCUAUGCACCAUCGGUGUCUAUACGGCCAGCUCAGAAGCAUAACACGGCUAACAUAAGGAGCGACACAACAGUUGUUGUGCUACCAUAGAAAAAUUGGGAUUCAAACCUAACGUAGCCCUUGUAUCGAAAUAAAAACGCUAGCAGAGUGAUGCUUGCUGCUUGAUCCUUGUUACUACAUGGCCAUUCGGUGUUGUCGCCCAGUCCUGAAUCCUGAGUGCAAAGAGGACCCCCUGCUCUAGCGAGUGGACUAAUGGAAAAGAGACGAUUAAGGUUGUCAUUACUACCACAAAACCAACAAUGCUUUAUUUCGGGUGGAGAUGCUCUAAUCAUCCUUUUCCUCCUUUUACUAAUGCUCUUGACCAUGUACAAUGCACGCAUUCUACCAUCAAAAUGAAAAUAUAGCACCAACAAAUAUAUUGCUGACCACCGAACACAUAUUGGACAAGAACAAACAACAACCGAAUCAAACAGAUUUGCAAGUAUACGACAGAACCGUAUAUAUAACAAGUAAUGAAAGAUGAGCCUAUUUAUUUCGAAUCAUCCCCUCUCAAGAUCGGAAUCCACUCAAAUCUCAAUCUGCUGUCGGCCAAGAUCGGGUCGAGAUUCGCAGCGCGAUGGAGG